ensembl:ncRNA T09F5.19 ncRNA
ACAGAAAUCGUGAUAUGGAGCAUGACAGUAAAGCAUGAUAAGUGUUGCAGAUGCUCCGUGAACUGACAUGAGCAUAUACGCGAGACUAUUCAU